rnacentral:lncRNA from 1 species
UUAGAAAUCAAAGCGAAAUAGGAGAGAAGCGCAUUAAGCCUCGGGCAUCCUUACAGUAGGAAGAAGAGAGGGAGGUGGUAAAACCCUCAGGGAGUUUAUGCCGUGAGUUAUGAGAGGAUCCACGAGUGUAAUAUUGUUAAAGGUCAGCCCAAACCUAAUUUAAACUAGGGAUGUGUGACCUCCGCCCUUCAUUUAAUACAGUCAUAAGGAACAUUACACUGCAGAUAGCUGGAACAAUAGCUGCCUCCACCCCAAACUCCAGCCCCUGGCAUUGCCUGACAACAGGGCCCGAGUGGGAGGAGGACGAGGAGAGCCGAGGGCAUGGCUGGACCUGCGGCAGAGAGAGGCAGAGAUGGAGAGAGAAGGGCUGGGAGGAGUACAGCUUCCACCCCAGCAUCACAGGAAGCUUCUGGUUCCACCUGAAUCCAUUGGGAUGUCCAGGGGAUGCCCAUCUGCAAAGCCCCCAGUGGCACUGCCCAUUGGAGCCCACCCAAGCAGAUCUGGACAGCCACCUACACAUUGCCAAGGGCCUCAAGUUUUCCAGGGACAGAGGAGAGAACAGGAAAGCUGGGGCCAGGCCAGACCUUGCAGGCAGAGAUGGAAGAGGUCACUUAAUCCCAGCUCAACCAAGGCACCCAUUGAUGCUCAUUUGGUUUAUUUCCCAAUGAGCAGGAAGGGGAUUUCUUGGCAUUUGAGUUGCACGGUUGACGCUCUGUGCCUGUCGCACUAUGAAGGUCCCCCUAUUUGUAAAGCACCUCACAUUCUCAUUUGUCACCAUUGAGGACAACUGGGAGGAAUCAGACUGUGCUACUGACAUGAGACCACAGGAGGGUGGGGACAGUUCCUGAGUUGGCAUCUCGUGUCCUUGAAGACUGGCAGAAAAUGUCAUCACAAGACAGAACGGACAGUGAUCAGGAUGAGUCCUAAAUGCAACCAUUUAAUGGCAGAGAAGUGAUCUUAGUUCGCCCAGAGUGUUUUUCAGUGGCUUUGAGAAAGUGAUACCUUUUGUUUAGUACAGCCCAGGAAAUUGGCAAUAACACGGUGUCCUUGUGUGCUGCUAAAAUAUAUUGAUCUCGGGGCAACUGGAACUGUUUGAACGGGAGAGAUUCAUUGGCGACAGGGGAUGUGAUAUAUGUAAGGUCCCUGCAUGAAAUUGAAGUCAAAGAACUCAGAGUGGGAGAAAUAAUUCACCUGGGGCCCAUGUUCAGCAAGGAGCAAACAAGAGUGGAUGCCAAGAGGGUCUGCUUAGGUCUCCUUGUGUCUGCUGCUGGGUUGUUAUAUGGGGAGGGUCAUCUUUUUGCAUGUUCAGGGGGAAAGGGGACUCUUGGAGCAAAUCCUGCCCUGGUCUGCUGAUGCCUCGGGGCACUCGUUGGACUCGAGGGUUGCUGGCAGAUGCACGCUAAGGACCUGGAUGCUGCUGAACACUGCAGAACUGAAGUUCUUCAGAGCAUUUCCAUGGAAAGGCUCACAGGAAUGUCAUACAGAGGAAGAAGUCCAAGCUCCUAAAGGACCAAUAAGAGCUCCAGCAGGCACAACUGGUUCUUCCAAGCACCAGGAGAUGAGGGACUGGGACCGACCUUGUUGGAAAUGAGCCUACUGAUGCCUACAGCUGGAAGCAGUUGCAUGGGACUUUGCAGUAGGUAACAUGGGGAUACAUGUCCCAGAACACAUUGCCCAUGCCAGGGGUGACGAACACUCUCACAGGGGAGCAGGAGACGUGCACUGAGCAAGUGAUGCCACUCGGGGUGACUCACUUGCUGUCUCCACGUCUCCUUCUCUUCAUCAGCUGAGGAUAACUCCUACUGGGAUACACCGAUCCUGACGUGCUUCAGCAUCUGGAAGAUCCUAAGAGGAAUGACACAGAGUGAUGGGAAGCACAGGCACGAUCCUGAACAUCUCCAUACCUGCUGUGGGGCAUAAGCCCAGGAGAGAGCUGGGGAAGGUCUAAAGAGGUUUCUAUUCUCUGUGUAUGUUUAUGGUGGGCAGGCUCUGAAAAGGGUGGACUUUGCUUGCUUUCAGCAUCAGAGGUGCUAAUCCCAUGUGCCGGCAGCCCGAGUUGUGUGUGGCCAGUGUGUUCCCAGCCCUCCACGAAGCCCUGAAAUCAAUGGGCAAAGGGUUAACUGAGCUCCCGAGGCAGGUGGGAGCACAGGUCACGCUGAGUGAUAUCGCAGACAUGUUAUUUGAAAAGCUAAGAAAUUGUGGAAUUCCUCACCUAAUCCAACUUCCACACAGUUUAAAGAAAACUGCAGUGCAAGAUAUGUCUACGUCUGAAGGAGACCCCCCCCCCCUUCCCCACGAGCCUUCCCCUGUGUGCUUUAUAUGUGCAUAUAUGGAGCUCAUGCUGCAAGCCACCCCAUGUCCUGCUGGGCUUCCAGCCACUGGGAUCUGUCUUCUGGAAAAGCCCAUGAGAUGCAGCAGCACCGUGGGGAGCCAGGUCCUCUGCUCCAGCUCAGCAGCCCAAGGAGCUGAGCAGCUGUAUUGCUUUUGUAUUUAAUCAAAGCUGGGUUUAGCUGGAAAAAAAAAAAAAAAAGAAAAAAAAGAAGAUGUGGGGUGUGAGGCUUUAAUCUGGAAAGUUUUACAAAUGGAAAAAGGCAAUGACUAAGAAGACUUCCAGAAAAGUUUAGGCUUUCUUUUUUUUUUUUCUUCUCCCCCACAACAUUUCCUAUCGGUUCUUCAUAAAAAACAUUUUACAGGGUUCUGUUGGAAAAAGUGUUGCUUGCAAAAGGCAGGUGUUGGCAAAGGUACCGGUCUUCUGCCUGACAACUGUUGGCCCUCUCCUGACCAUGGUGGCCCUUUUCCAACCUGAACCAUCCCGGCAGCACUGUGGGCUGCAAGAAAAUUAAUGUGUUCUCUCGGGGAGUGGACAGGCAGCCUGAUUGCUGAGGCUUGCUGGAGUGAUGGUGGGACCAUGGUGUGCUCCUGCAUUGGCUCCUGGAAGGCUCUGUGAUGUCUUCAGCUUCUUGGAAUGCAAUCAGUAGCUCAGUGAUACUUUCUGGUUAGAGAAAUGUGCACAAUAAAGGGUGAGAAAGUCAACUGGUUUCCCUCUGGCUCCUGGGUGAGCUCUCUUUGGGAGUGACUGGAGGGUCCCUGGGCAUUUCACACCUUACAUUUCAGAUGUAGGCAGCCCUCAGCCCAUCCUCUUGCUGACAUGUCCCUGCAGGAGCAGAUGUGCUGAAGAGCUGCAGGGAAGUGGCUGGAGGGCUAAAUGUUGCUUAACCUCACAAAGAACCAUUUAAUGCAACAAACCAUUAGAGCUGAGGGUGAUCCAUCCAUCUUUAUGCGGUUCAUCCAUCCCAGUGAGGUUCAUCCAUCCCUCACUAAAAGCAGCAUCAGGAGCAGAGAGAAAUACAUGGCCAGGAUGGAGGAGGAAGGUCCCCAGACCUCUUGGCACUGUGUUAGCUGGAAAAUAGCUAAAACACUCGUACAAAAAAACUUUUGGUGAGGCAAUACAAAGAUCAGUGGAUAUCAAUUGCCUCUUGCAGACCCCAGCUUAAGACAUCCCCAGCUAUGAGAGGUGGCUGCACUGAGCCUCCGUAGGACUGCAAAUAUCUGAACAUGAUUAAUGAUUAGCAAGUGGACCAGAUGAUCUCCAGAGAUCCCAUCCAACCUCCAAGAUUAGGUGCUUCUGUGAUUAUAUUCACGGCAAUUGCAUCCCCGUUGCAAACCUGCCUCUCAUUUGAUUUCUUCCAGGUGGGUUUUGUGCUGAGCCUUCCAAUUCUAGCAGGUAGAUCUUGGCGAGCGAGAGGAUUUUGUAUUUUUUUGGCCUGGAAGUGAAUUGUUUGGAAAUUUUUAAGAUUUUUUAUUAUUAUUUUUAGUUUUCAUUAAAAGCAACCAUUUCAAGUAUGUACGGAUCACACGGGUGUUUUGUAGUCAAAACAAUCAUAGUAACUGCAAAGAGGUGCCAGACUGGAACAACCUCUUCUGCAUUAAUCUAAUCAAAAGGAAAGAAGAAAGAAAGAUGCUUUCGAGAGAUAGAUUGAAUUCCAUUGUCUUUGCAUGUUAUAUAAGGAAAGAGAGAAAAAUCUAGCAAGGGAUAGCAGGCAUCCCCUACAAGAGACUUCUAGGGGAGUUGACUUACAAACGUGAGUGUCAUCAUGAGGUGAACAUUUGCCUGAGUCACCGGAGUGUUUCAAGACCUCCCAUCCCAAAUCCUGCUGAGACCCUAUCCCAGGUCCUGCCCCAAACCACACCUGUGUUGGGGAAGGCAGUGUUCCCAGGGGUCCCCCCUGCACCAAUACAAUUAGGGGCACAGACCUGUCUCUGCUGUAUGAUGCCCAUUUUACAGCUGCUUUCUCCCACCCUUUGCUGCCUUGGAGACCCACUAAAAAGAAGGAGCAGCAUCGCUGGGGUAUACAGAGUAGAAGAUGAGUCACUCAAAGCUUUUGCUCCCACUUUUGAGAUGCUCUUCCACACCCAGAUAAGGAGCAAUCUCCCAGGGAAGGGAGGUGGAAUACGUGGGACAGAUUUUAUUUAAACUAAACAACUGGCUUGGGAUGUUGGUGCUUGGUUUUUAAAUGAAGUGAUUCUAAAACUAAGAUUUUCUGGGUGUUACUCUGUCAGAUUCUGGCCUCGGGAGUGAAAACAGCUAAAAGUGGAAAUCUUGAUCUUUAGCAAUUUCUUUGGAGAUUUGCUCUGGCUUUUCUGAAGAUCAUGGGAAGGAGAGUGUCCAAACCUGGCUAUCCUGGGGAAGGGGGCAGGAGAUGGCAACACUGGGCAGAAGUCAGCUGCUUCAAUGAGGUUUCCUGCAGGAGCUCCAUUAGUGUGAGCAUGAGCAUGGCACAAGCCCUGGUGCCCACAUCUCCACUGGGCUAUCUGAGGAAGAGUUUCUUUGGCCAUCAGACACAGUCGAAGCAAGACUUGCAAGGUAGGAUUUGUUACAUAGACGCAGCAUUAUAGCCAAGGGAGAGGUGUCGCCUCAGAGCUGCCACCACCAUGGAGAUCUGG